UAUCAUGUGAUUCCGUAGAAUAAAGUUAACCCUAAUCUAAUCCCAUCAUUAGAAAACAAAAAGAAAUUUUAAAAGCUAAGAUAAUUCACGUUUUUUUUUCUUUCUCUUUUUCUCUCUAAAAAAAGCUAAUUAAAGAAAAAGGGAGCAGAGCAGAGCAGAGCAGAGCAGAGCAGAGCAGAGCAGAGAGCUCUUCUUCUUCUUGGCUCAGUUUCUCGCUUAUUUGCUUGGUGUUGAAUGCGAGAGUAAUGUAAUGCUUGCUCGAUUCCAAUUAACCUGAAAUGGAACUUACUACGACCUCCGAAGAUCAUCAUCAUCAUCGCUCAUCGGCGCUGGUUGCACCUCUGACUAGGAGCCUGUUGUUGUUGAAGUUGUUAGGUCCAUUCACGAUAAUCCCGACCCUGCUCCUGUACUAAAGUCAACCUCUUUUCUUCGGAAAAUACCUCUGCUUCUGUACUAAAGGAGACAAAAGUAGGAGAUUCUACGGAGUUAAAAACAUUUCGUAUUCCUCUCGUUGGCCGUGCUUCUAACAAGGACUCACAUUUCGCUUCUGCAAGUGCUAAUAUGUGAGCUGCAAUCCCAAGCUAGCUACAUUUGUUGAUCCAAACGAGGACGGAAAAAGGAUGACAGUACACUUUCUGAUAAAAGAAAUAAUCUGCAUAUGCUUCCUGUUAACGAAACAGAGCUCACUUGGCCUGAAUUGGCCCGUAGGUACGUCUUGUCUCUUUUAUCAAUGGAUGGUGGUUUGCUUUGUGGUUCACUAACAGGAGUGGCUGGGAUGGAAGCCGAUUCAAUGGUAUGUUUUUGUUAUUUUCCUUUUAUUUCCUGGGUUACAGUGUCUUGCUUGUAUUACUGGAUGACGGGAUCACAAAUUUAGCUCCUUUCCGGGCCACCUAUGUGCUGUUAUUCUUUUCCUUCCAGUGUUUUAUCAUAAACCUUCCACCAAUUUAGUCAGGUUGAUCUUUCUCAAGCUUAUUUGAAGCUAUGUUCCAUUCGUAGAGUAGUUAAGUUACUCUUCACCUCUAUAUUUUUUGACAUUUUUUCUGAUACUCUUGAAUUACCUGGAAAGGUCCUCGUUUAUUACACAGUCUGUAGAAUCGAUUCUGUGUUAUUAAAUGAGUAUUAUCUUUGGGCAAUAAAUCUUUGAUUGUUAUAGAACAAGUGUUAGAAUACUUAAGUUCCUAGAGAAUGAUCAUUGGAUUUGCGUGUAGAUAUUAACUCUUUAUCUUCAGUUACUUGCAGAGGCUUCUAAAAAAAUAUUUGGUUCUUUGACAAGAGAAAAUGAUGUUAUUUAUGUGGAAGAUGAUGAUUCUGACGACCUUGAUGCUACUGAGACAAACGCUUGCAAAAUGGUGAUAUUCCAGAGUGGGCACUGGUACUGGAACCUGUGAGAAAACUUCCAACAAAUGUUGGGACUAGAAUCAGGUAAGUGUGUCUACGAGGCUUUAGAGAGAAAUCCACCAGACUGGGCAAAGAAGAUAUUGGAGCAUUCCAUCAGUAAACAAGUAUAUAAAGGCAAUGCAUCCGGACUCAUCUUAACGACUCAAUGCUCAUAUCUGCCACUUCCAGUAAGCUAGAUAGUGGUAAUUCAGGGGGUCAGGUGAUUUUUUACUGGUUCUGAAGCCAAUGGGGAAGACUUGAAUUCUGAGUCUAGCAUGUGUUUGGACAGAUUUGUCACAAAUGAUUUUGGCGGUCCGCGGAAUAAAGCGAGUGGAGUGGAUUUUGACUUCUCAGAGCAAAAGAAGAAGAAAACACUUCAGUUGGUUCAGGCAACAAUAGUGGUAGAAGACAUGGUUAAGACAGAGUACUUAAAAAAACGAAUGGUGGUACUGGUCUUCUCUUUCAGCGGCUGCUAAAAUCUCAACUCUCUCAGGGUUAUCCGUCCGUCUCUUCUCCCUGGAUGCAGCUAUUAUGUACGAUAAAACCGUAACUCAAUCAGAUCCUAUGGAUGAGACAAAGCCCUUAGCGGAGCAAAAGUCACAACCUGUUUCAGAUACACAAGAAAGGAGCAGCAGAGCAAACAGAAGAUCUGGUAAAAAAGAGGAAAGAACCAGAGGGAUCAUAACAAAUUUACUUCACAAGUAGGAAAGCUUUCAGCCGGCAAGCACAUGGAAAGAAUGGGGUGUUUUUUUUUUUUAACUAAGCGGGAGCCAAUGCGUUGGGCAGUGUUAAGCGGACCUGUAACUACCCGGAUGUUGAGAACUGGGUUGGUGGUUCAUCAAAGAGAAGUCCGGUUUAACAAGUAGGAGAGAAUUGUGUACGCAGAGAUGUAUAUAGAAGACUAACUAAUGUGGAUGGAAUUAAUUUAGUAUUAAAGCCGCUCCUUAGAUGGUAGAACUGAAACUUGGAUUC